rnacentral:rRNA from 1 species
ACCGGCGGAUGGGUGAGUAACGCGUAGGUAAUCUGCCUUCAGGACGGGGAUAACCCACCGAAAGGUGAGCUAAUACCGGAUGAUGCAGCGGGGCCGCAUGGCCACAGUUGUUAAAUCCUUCGGGAGCCUGGAGAUGAACCUGCGUGCCAUUAGCUAGUUGGUAGGGUCAAAGCCUACCAAGGCGAUGAUGGCUAGGGGGUCUGAGAGGAUGAUCCCCCACACUGGGACUGAGACACGGCCCAGACUCCUACGGGAGGCAGCAGUGAGGAAUCUUGCGCAAUGGGGGCAACCCUGACGCAGCCACGCCGCGUGCUGGAAGACGGCCCUAUGGGUUGUAAACAGCUUUUACUGGGGAAGAACCUGGACCUUUCGAGGACCACUGACGGUACCCAGUGAAUAAGCACCGGCUAACUCCGUGCCAGCAGCCGCGGUAAUACGGAGGGUGCAAGCGUUGUCCGGAAUCAUUGGGUGUAAAGGGUGUGCAGGCGGAAGUCUAAGUCGGAGGUGAAAUCUUGCCGCUUAACGGUAAAAGGGCCUUCGAAACUGGAUUUCUUGAGUUCGGAAGAGGUUGGUGGAAUUCGUGGUGUAGCGGUGAAAUGCAUAGAUAUCACGAAGAACACCGGUGGCGAAGGCGGCCAACUGGUCCGAUACUGACGCUGAGACACGAGAGCGUGGGGAGCGAACAGGAUUAGAUACCCU